rnacentral:rRNA from 1 species
CCUACGGGUGUCAGCAGUGGGGAAUAUUGGGCCAUGGGCGCAAGCCUGACCCAGCAACGCCGCGUGAAGGAAGAAGGCUUUCGGGUUGUAAACUUCUUUUCUGAGGGACGAAGAAAGUGACGGUACCUCAGGAAUAAGCCACGGCUAACUACGGGCCAGCAGCCGCGGUAAUACGUAGGUGGCAAGCGUUAUCCGGAUUUAUUGGGUGGAAAGGGCGGGUAGGCGGGAAAGCAAGUCAGAUGUGAAAACUCAGGGCUCAACCCUGAGCCUGCAUUUGAAACUGUUUUUCUUGAGUGCUGGAGAGGCAAGCGGAAUUCCGUGUGUAGCGGUGAAAUGCGUAGAGAUACGGAGGAACACCAGUGGCGAAGGCGGAUUGCUGGACAGUAACUGACGCUGAGGCGCGAAAGCGUGGGGAGCAAACAGGAUUAGAUACCCGAGUAGUC